GACGGAGGAUGCAAGCGUUAUCCGGAAUGAUUGGGCGUAAAGAGCUCGUAGGCGGUUUGUCGCGUCGUCUGUGAAAACCCACGGCUCAACUGUGGGCUUGCAGUCGAUACGGGCAGGCUAGAGUUCGGUAGGGGAGACUGGAAUUCCUGGUGUAGCGGUGAAAUGCGCAGAUAUCAGGAGGAACACCGGUGGCGAAGGCGGGUCUCUGGGCCGAUACUGACGCUGAGGAGCGAAAGCGUGGGGAGCGAACAGG
rnacentral:rRNA from 1 species